UACGUAGGGUGCGAGCGUUAAUCGGAAUUACUGGGCGUAAAGCGUGCGCAGGCGGUUUUGUAAGGCAGAUGUGAAAUCCCCGGGCUUAACCUGGGAAUGGCAUUUGGGACUGCAAGGCUCGAGUGCGGCAGAGGAGACUGGAAUUCCUGGUGUAGCAGUGAAAUGCGUAGAUAUCAGGAGGAACACCGAUGGCGAAGGCAGCCCCCUGGGUCAAGAUUGACGCUCAUGCACGAAAGCGUGGGGAGCAAACAGG
rnacentral:rRNA from 1 species